GCGGGAUUGGUAUAGUGGCAUUACGCUACCCUUCCAAGGUAGAGACGCCAGUUCGACUCUGGUAUCCCGCU
rfam:Parcubacteria (Yanofskybacteria) bacterium GW2011_GWA1_41_6 TT70_C0003, whole genome shotgun sequence.